UUAAUUUCUUUUUUUGUUAUUUUUUUCUUUCUUUUCACACUUUCUUCACUUUAAAAUUUAUUGCAUCUGGUAGUUAAUUUUCCUUUAAAAUUUUCUUGUGCAUUAUAUUUUCUAAACAACUAAACACCAUUUUUCUUCUUAAACUUUGGUUCUGUUAUUGAGCAGACCACUCAGAAGUUCCGAGGGAUAGCUAGAUCGAAGCUAAAAAUACUGGGGGAGCAUCAACUAAUAGAGACAAAGCAAUGAAAAGGUCACAUAAUCAAUGUUGUGGUGAACCAAGGUUAGUACUUUGUGUACUGCACUUGAAAACGAGGUUGUGCACAACAAGAAGUCAAGUAAGAUGUGCGAACCCUUUUAUUUAAUGUGUGAACCUUGGCAUGUACAUACGACCCCUACUAGAUUUUCAUUCGAACCCUGUGAUAAUUUGAUGUGAGCUCUGAGUUGUGAUCUGUGAACCAUGCUUUUAAAUUGUGUGAGCCUAUAAGUGAGUGCGAGCUCAAUGUUUAAAGCUUUGUGAUAUAAUUGGUGCGAACUAUUAUAUAUUAUAUAUAAAUAUAGGUGUUGUGGGUUUUAAUUUAUAUAAUAUAUAUACAUGUUGAAAAAAGGGUUGUCAUAUAUUAUAAAUGCAAGUGGUGGUUUUAUUAUAAGUAAUAUAUAUUAUUUAGCUAAGAGGGUACGCAUACUUAUAUAAUAGAUAAUCAUGAUGUAAAAAGGGUUUUGUACAAUGAAUGCAUGUGCAGGCUUCUUUAUAAACAAUAUAUAUACAUAUCUUUGCACUAAAUGGGUUCUUGUAUUAUUUAAUAUAUAAAUGUAUACAGAUAGUGUGUGAACUUUAAAUCUAUUAUGAUGUAUGUACAUAAAAUAUUAUGAAAACAUAUUACAUGCGAACAUAUGUCAUAUGUGAACCCUGUUAUUUUAUGCUUGAUGUUUUGUAUAUGCGAGCUAAAUGCUUUGCGAACUAUAUUAUGACGUGUUGUGGUACUACGAGCUCUGUUAAAAUUGUGAGCCUAAAAUGACUUAAUUUGUAAAUGUGUAUUAUUGUGAUAUGUUGGUAUUGUGAAUUUUUGAAACCAUUGGAUAUAGUUGACGUGCCUUAAGAUUGUGAAUGAUAGCCCAUAUUAUGUGAUAAGGCAUUGUGGCCUGGUGAUUCGAUGGAGAAAUAAGGGAAUGUCGAGCAAUGCUCCAUUCACCGAGGAUUGUAAGGGUGUGUUUUACGGAGAGUGUGAGCUUUCGCACUGCACUUAUAUGGCGAUUUGAGUGACUCUAUGAGUAUUAGGGUGUGUUUGGGAGAUUCAUUUAUCCAAUGAGUAUAUUAUUUAAUUAUGUUUUCUUUCACGAAUUUCUAAUAUAUCACUAAACUAAAAGUGGUUGAUUAUAUGUGAAUUAAUGAUAUACGUAUUGUUUGUAUGCAAAUCACUUACAUGUAAAAUUGUUUAUGUGUGAACUGUUAUAUGCAAUCUGUCUGUAAGUGAGUUAUUUGGUAUGUGAACUAUUGAUGUGUUCUCUUGUGUUGUACGCAUGUGUAUUCACUAAGCUUUCCCAAGCUCAUCCCUUUACUUUAUUUUCCCUUUAAGAUAAGUAGUGCAUGAAAUAGUGAAGAGGGUGGCAAUUUAGUGAUCCAUCGCACAAAUUUUCUUUCUACAGUAUGUGCGUUGAGCUUAUAAAACCCCAAGAAGGCAUUGUGGGACAUUCUGGGUUGGGGACUUAGAAUGGGACCUAGAUAAUUUGGGACAAUUUAUAAAACAUUUUUCAAGGGUUGUAAAUGGACUUUUUGGGCUGUUUAAUUUUUGAGACUUUUUAA